GCGGUGCCACCUCCGACUAUUAUGUAAUCGUAUCCUUUCUCUCUCUCAUGGCCGUCCCGAUAGAACGAGCUUGCGCGCUUGAUGAACGGGGAUUUGUUGUAGUAGCUACUUUGUAAUGGAAGAUAUCAGAAAAACCAACCUUGACAAGAAGAGAGAAGGUGUAAGAGGCAGAGGAGAACAAGGAAGAGAAAGAGCUUGACUGUCCCAACCAACGCCAUUGAGUUGCAGACAAGGCAAAAGACAGUAGCAGUAGCAAAGGAUGCUGCUUCUUCCAAACCUUUGGGGUUUUGGAUGGCUGCUCGUGGAUCGUUGGAUGAUUUCUUCUGUGAUUUGAUCAUGGCCUUUCAUGAAUACUUGAAGACAGCUCAUUCACCAAUCUCCCCUUUAAACUGUAUGGAUGUAGAAGUCAAAGGAUGAAAAGUUCCAAGGAACAUUUUCUACAAUGUCUCUCUUACAGAACCCAGAAUCCAUAGCUAAGAAGGGUUUGCGCUCUGAUGAAAUAUAUCACAAGUUGGGAGUUCGCAGUUUUUUCGCGCAACGAAGAGUAUGGAUGAAGAAGAUAACUCUUCUAGGAGCUUCCCCAUUCAAGAAAACGUUCAAUGAGGUUCAUAGCCUAUUGGUUUAGUGUUGCCUAAUGUCACGAUCAUGCUUGUUUAAGGUGUGUUGUCUAUGGCCGCUUGUCGAAUGUCCUAGUUAUGCUUAUCCAGGAUGUGUUGUCCAUGGCUGCAUGCCCGUUCCAAACCCCUUUUACAUGCUUUCAUCUUAGAUAGGUCUUUAUUAUUUCAUGUUGUCUUAAUACGGGGGUGUAUGACCGUUCACCAAAAUCAUGUCUACACUCAACAAGACUUAAAUGCCUUAAAAUGUACUAUAGAAAAUAUGACUAGUUGUUACUUCUUCUUACUUGGGUUAUAUGCUAUUAAAGUCGUU